rnacentral:lncRNA from 1 species
GAGUAGCCAGCCAGGGCAGAGGCCGGGCUGCAGGUGGAGGCGGGGAAGCGAUUCCGGCCACCUUUGGGAAGCGGUAAUGGACGCUGUCGAGGUAUGUUUAGUGAGCCACCGGUUGCAUCAGCUGUAAGCCCCCCACGUGGGGAGCUGGCGUCUCAGCUGGGAGUUUGGAGUGAUGGGCGUCUCACUACCUACAAAGUCAGCCCAGUGAUUUCAAGACAGCCCUGGAGACAGUGCUUCCUGCCCUCCUGUCAGCUUCUGCCUCCCUGUAAUGUGUUCUGGGUGGUCUAGCUCAGUCAUCUGGAGACACACACAGGCUUUGCUCACUCUCCUGGGAGCGAUCUGGAAAGCUGCACUUGUGCUCCCUUCCUCGUAGGUUUGCUGUGGAACGUUGUGGCUUCUGUGGCUCCUCAGGCCCGGGGGCGCCCCUUGAACCCUCCACUCUUGGCUCCAAGCACCUUCCCUGGGAAGCUGUAUCUGCUGGGUUCGCAGACAGGAACAGAAACAUGGAUGGAGCCAUGUGGCUGAGCCUCUGUCCUGAUAACGAAGACCUGCUUUGGAGGAAAA